UUAUUUUUGUAUUUAGAAUCAAAGUUCAAGGUUCGUUGCGGAUCUAUUUCUCUAUUACUAUUACAUAACCAUCUAAAAUUUUUUUUGAAUUUCGCACUUUAAUUAAAUUAUCUAAUUUUCUAAAUUGUAGAUUAUAUAGCUCAAAACACUGCCAUUACUCGAUUGUUUAGUAGCUCAGUAGUAGAGAAUGAACCACAAAAUAAUUCUGACUGCCCUCGCUCUUGUGACUCAUUCCACGUUGACUCUUUCCGAAUAUGGCCAUCGCAAAACAGAAAAGUGUGACGCUCCUCCUUCUGUCACCGGGAAGUGCAUGGCCUCCAUUCCCGCCGUAACCUUCAAGGACCACCGAUGUAUUAGCUUUACCUAUGGGGGGUGUGGCGCGACUCCAAACCUUUUUUAUUCAUAUGAGGAAUGCCACGCAGGUUGUAUAAAUUAUUUAGUUCCUCAUUAAUAAACAAUAAAUUUGUUUUGUUCAAAGGA